UUAGAUUUUCCUUAAUUAUUAGUUUUUUGCAACCCCCUGGCUUUUUUGGGUUCAUUCUACUUUGGGGUUUGAAAUAAUCUCUUUUUAAGUUUGCAUUUAUUGUUUUGAAAAUGUUGUAUUUGAAUGUAGCUUGGAACACAACCUCCCUGAUUGUCCAUUUGCAUCUCCUAAAGCUGCUGUGGACUUCUUUGAUGAUAAGUUAGCCAUAAUUGGAUGAUUUAGUUUAGUUUUACAGGGAUUUUUUGUGGCUCCUUUUCUUCAAUCUCACUACUAUUGUGACUCUUAAAGGAUAUCUUUAGAGUUGAGCGAGUUGACCCAGAUGGUAAAAAAUUUGAUAAGAGGUAUGUUUUCUAGUUUGGUCAUGUCUUCUACAGUUUCUUGUCGUGUUUUUUUUUUUUUAAUUAAAUAUAUAUAUUUAUAUAUACGAAAUGGGAAAAUAAGUGUUUCUUUAAUAAUGUUUCUUAUACCUAAUCAAUCCAUUUGAAGUAAACCCCUUUAUUAAUAUAAGAUCUAUAUAUACAAUAUCUAUUAUGUGUUUUAAUGCUAUGCUAGAUUUGAGCUUAAGUGGACUUGGGGGGUUGAGCUUAAAAGCAUAUCAGGGUUUUAAUGUAACUGGAUUUUGACCUUAUGAUACCAUUAUUAUCCAAAAAUAUGAAGCUUAUUAUGAGAGGAUGUUCAGGCUAUCAUUCUUAGGCAAACAAUAGUUUUGUGGGUGCUCGGGCUCACUACAAUUGGCUUGUUAUGGCUAUGGGUUUACACAAUUCCAUAGGUGGUAAAGUGAUUGCCCUUGUCUGAGGAGUGUGGAUAAUUUAAUUUACCCCCCCCCCCCCCAAAAAAAAAAAAAA